AUAAAAAUAAAUUGAUUCAUCAUCUACCACAUCUACCCAUCUCGCGAUUCCAAUCAACCGAUUCAUUGAGCAACUCUCAGGGGCUUCUAUAAACUAAUAAAAAGAACUGCCCCGUGUAACUUCACUCAAAAAUUAAACCUUUUAAAAAUGAUUACAUUAUGGAAGAAUAUAAGAAAACUUUUUUAUUGUCUCGGAUCCUAUUUCUAUUUUAGAGACAACGUAAACCUAAAAAAAAGGAUUACUUUCAGUAGAUUCCGGAAUAGGUUCAUUCACUUAAUAUCUUGAACGAAUGAGAAGAAAAAAGUUAUCCCGCAAUCACUCAAAAAAAUAUUUAUUUUGGUCCAACUAGGUUAGUAAUUUCUAUUAUCUUUUCUUUUUUACGUUCUACA
rnacentral:lncRNA from 1 species